AUGGUUGUUGUUGUUUGUUUUUUGAAUUAUAUGCUUGUUAUUGCUUCAAUCAAUUUUGUUAUUGUUGUUCAUGAGAACCGAAAUCAGAUUGUGUUGUUAUUAUUAUCGCUUAAAUUGAAAAAUAGAGUGAAGGAUUUAUUGUUAUUGCGAAAUAGAAAGACGGAGCGUGAGAAUUAUGGAAACAAUUGA